rnacentral:rRNA from 1 species
CAGUCGCCGCGGGAAUACGUAGGUGGCAAGCGUUGUCCGGAAUUAUUGGGCGUAAAGGGCUCGCAGGCGGUUUCUUAAGUCUGAUGUGAAAGCCCCCGGCUCAACCGGGGAGGGUCAUUGGAAACUGGGAAACUUGAGUGCAGAAGAGGAGAGUGGAGUUCCACGUGUAGCGGUGAAAUGCGUAGAGAUGUGGAGGAACACCAGUGGCGAAGGCGACUCUCUGGUCUGUAACUGACGCUGAGGAGCGAAAGCGUGGGGAGCGAACAGGAUUAGAUACCCGAGUAGUCCCUGUCUCUUAUAC